rnacentral:rRNA from 1 species
GAGUUUGAUCAUGGCUCAGAUUGAACGCUGGCGGCAGGCCUAACACAUGCAAGUCGAGCGGUAGAGAGAAGCUUGCUUCUCUUGAGAGCGGCGGACGGGUGAGUAAUGCCUAGGAAUCUGCCUGGUAGUGGGGGAUAACGCUCGGAAACGGACGCUAAUACCGCAUACGUCCUACGGGAGAAAGCAGGGGACCUUCGGGCCUUGCGCUAUCAGAUGAGCCUAGGUCGGAUUAGCUAGUUGGUGAGGUAAUGGCUCACCAAGGCGACGAUCCGUAACUGGUCUGAGAGGAUGAUCAGUCACACUGGAACUGAGACACGGUCCAGACUCCUACGGGAGGCAGCAGUGGGGAAUAUUGGACAAUGGGCGAAAGACCUGAUCCAGCCAUGCCGCGUGUGUGAAGAAGGUCUUCGGAUUGUAAAGCACUUUAAGUUGGGAGGAAGGGCAGUAAAUUAAUACUUUGCUGUUUUGACGUUACCGACAGAAUAAGACACCGGCUAACUCUGUGCCAGC